rnacentral:rRNA from 1 species
AGAGUUUGAUCCUGGCUCAGAACGAACGCUGGCGGCAGGCUUAACACAUGCAAGUCGAGCGCCCCGCAAGGGGAGCGGCAGACGGGUGAGUAACGCGUGGGAAUCUACCCAUCUCUACGGAAUAACGCAUGGAAACGUGUGCUAAUACCGUAUACGUCCUUCGGGAGAAAGAUUUAUCGGAGAUGGAUGAGCCCGCGUUGGAUUAGCUAGUUGGUGGGGUAAAGGCCUACCAAGGCGACGAUCCAUAGCUGGUCUGAGAGGAUGAUCAGCCACACUGGGACUGAGACACGGCCCAGACUCCUACGGGAGGCAGCAGUGGGGAAUAUUGGACAAUGGGCGCAAGCCUGAUCCAGCCAUGCCGCGUGAGUGAUGAAGGCCCUA